rnacentral:rRNA from 1 species
AACGAACGCUGGCGGCAGGCUUAACACAUGCAAGUCGAACGCCCCGCCAGGGGAGUGGCAGACGGGUGAGUAACGCGUGGGAACAUACCCUUUUCUACGGAAUAGCUCUGGGAAACUGGAAUUAAUACCGUAUACGCCCUACGGGGGAAAGAUUUAUCGGGGAAGGAUUGGCCCGCGUUGGAUUAGCUAGUUGGUGGGGUAAAGGCCUACCAAGGCGACGAUCCAUAGCUGGUCUGAGAGGAUGAUCAGCCACAUUGGGACUGAGACGCGGCCCAAACUCCUACGGGAGGCAGCAGUGGGGAAUAUUGGACAAUGGGCGCAAGCCUGAUCCAGCCAUGCCGCGUGAGUGAUGAAGGCCUUAGGGUUGUAAAGCUCUUUCACCGAUGAAGAUAAUGACGGUAGUCGGAGAAGAAGCCCCGGCUAACUUCGUG